ACGUCAAGUCAUCAUGGCCCUUACGACCAGGGCUACACACGUGCUACAAUGGCGCAUACAAAGAGAAGCGACCUCGCGAGAGCAAGCGGACCUCAUAAGUGCGUCGUAGUCCGGAUUGGAGUCUGCAACUCGACUCCAUGAAGUUGGAAUCGCUAGUAAUCGCGGAUCAGCACGCCGCGGUGAAUACGUUCCCGGGCCUU
rnacentral:rRNA from 1 species